rnacentral:lncRNA from 1 species
UCUCUUGUUCUUCGAUUAACUAUAGCUCUGGAGUUUUUGAAGAUUUUCAAAUAAAACUCAGAGAUUCCUUGUAUGACUCUCUCUAGUCUCUCUUUUGUGGUAUUUCUGGAUCCUUACCAAAGCAGUAAUGGUGUAUGCCUUCUCUCAAAGUAUGUGGUAUUUUUGGUAUGAGGCAUAGUGGCAUUGCCUUCUCUCUCACCCUACUCUAAUAAGGCUUUUGAUAUCUGGAGCUCAUAGGUGGGAGACAGCUAAUACAUACUUACAAGACAUUUAUUGCGUAGUCAAACCAUGGAUCCAGGAGAACAAGUCAAUAAAUCAAAUCAAGAUGUGCAUGUGUGGCGAAUGAAUGAUGUAUGGUGAUGAUGGUGAUGACAAUGGUGAAAGUCUAAUUCUACUUAUGCUCUUUUGAGGGGAUACAUACCUUUCUUGCUCUUUUGAAACUUUUUGAGGAGAAUGAGAUGCUCUAUAUUUUCUUUUUCUUUUCUCUCAGGUGGGUAUCUUGUACCCCUAAUUCUACUGUCACACACUUGUCCAUUUUUACCUCUCGUCUCACUUUUUCUUUUCUUUCGAGGUUCCGGGCACUUGCCCCUUUUUAUUUCCUCAUAUCCUUUAUUUUUCUCUCUUUUUUAGAGCACUCGUCUCCUGAAAUAAUAUAGCAAGUGGUAGUAACCAAGAUUACUUGAGCAUUUAUUUCAUAGGAGAAAAACAGAAAUGUUUUUGGCUAUUCUCUCCCGGAUUAGGAGUAGAAUAUUUUUAGGUGGUUCUAGAGACGGAAAUGAGUGGAUGUAUGUGGAUGCGUACUUCCAGAGUAGAAGCAGCAUGUAUGAGUGAACGUGCAAGUGAAUCUUGAUUUAACCACAUGACAAACUCCUAAGGGUCUACACAGCUUGACCACACUCAAUGCUCAUAAGUAGUAAAGUAAAUGUGUGGUUCAUAGUCUAGCAAGCAUGUGUAUAUGGCUGUGGUAGGAAUUUACACUCUCAUUAAACUCAUCAUGCAACAUUUUAAAGAUUUUCAAAGAUAAAAUUCUCCAGAAUUCUAGCAUCUCUAGGAACAGAUAAACAGCAGCUCAACCUUCCCAUAUCAUAUCCGUUAACGACUUAGACUUUAGAUCAAGUACUCUUCCCACAAGUUCAGGUUUAGAGCAAAUGUUAAUUAAUAACAGUCAUGCCUAAACUUGAGAGAGAUUUCAAUUUUGAGAACUAGUCAUGGUAGAGCAACUAUUCAUCAUUUCCAUUUGAGAGCUUAUCAUGAGGGUUUAUAGCAAAUUUUAUUUAUUUAUUUAGCAAACUAAGCAAAGAUAUAUAUAUAAGCACAAAAUCUUUAUUUGGGUUUAUAUGAUUAUGCAUCUUUUUAUUAUUAGAGUAAAGUAUAAAUGUGAGUAGAAUACUUAGCUGGAUAAAUGGGGGUGCUCUCCCCCAAGCUGGAUUUGACGCAAUUUCUUCUGAUGUAGCUAGCAGGUGGCGGAGGUGUAUUUGAAUGUCAGCAGCACCCUGACAGUGAUUAGGAUGUCCUCCGUCUACUAGUCUUCUUUGAUCAUUGACUUCUGUGGAGCUCAAAUAGACAACAAAGCUUUGUGGAACUAGUUAAGUGUUAGCAUAAAUAUCUAGCCCUUAUCAUGUUGAGACUCCUCAAUAAAUGUUACUCUCUUUAGUAGGAUCACAAUCUUAUUUAUAUUUUCAUUUUUAUAGGACAGGAAUAUAUUUACUUUAUUUUUAUGCCACCACAGUGAAUGUACUUAUGGGUUUUAUGCCAUGAGCAUACUCACAUGGGGCUUACUAUUUUUAACAUUUUUAUUUUCUUUUCAUGAUGAUAUGAACCUGAUUAACUAAGCAAACUAUUUUAAAAAAUUUAAAGGAAAAGGAUAACUACCAAGUUUACCUCUUGGCAAGGCGUUCGGUGUUUUUAAGUCCUCCGAACAGGAUUCUCCAUUUUCUCAAUCGUCCUGGGAUUCGCUGGAUGGCGUAGUCGGUGGUUUCGGCGGCGCCUGCUCUUCAUGUAUAACUAUCUUCUCUCUACACACCUGACUCGGUGCUACGGUCAGGACAGUUCUGUUCAAGUUGUAUGUCUUCAGACCUUAUCACUUCUCCUUCGUAGUCUGCCCAUCCAUCCUUGAUGAUUUGCCUCCUCUGGUUGUGG